GAUAGUAUGGUGUAGUGGUUUGAGCAUUCGACUAUCAUUCUAGAGAACAGGGUUUGAAUCCCUGCAUAGCCA